GUAGUCCACGCCGUAAACGAUGUCUACUAGCUGUUCGUGGUCUUGUACUGUGAGUAGCGCAGCUAACGCACUAAGUAGACCGCCUGGGGAGUACGGUCGCAAGAUUAAAACUCAAAUGAAUUGACGGGGGCCCGCACAAGCGGUGGAGCAUGUGGUUUAAUUCGACGCAACGCGAAGAACCUUACCUACUCUUGACAUCUACGGAAGACUGCAGAGAUGCGGUUGUGCCUUCGGGAACCGUAAGACAGGUGCUGCAUGGCUGUCGUCAGCUCGUGUUGUGAAAUGUUGGGUUAAGUCCCGCAACGAGCGCAACCCCUAUCCUUAGUUGCCAGCGAGUUAAGUCGGGAACUCUAGGGAGACUGCCGGUGAUAAACCGGA
rnacentral:rRNA from 1 species